rnacentral:tRNA from 1 species
UCCCUGGUGGUCCAAUGGCUAAGACUCCGCACUCGCAAUGCAGGGGACUGGGAUUCAAUUCCUGGUCAGGGAA